rnacentral:rRNA from 1 species
UACGGAGGAUGCAAGCGUUAUCCGGAAUGAUUGGGCGUAAAGCGUCCGCAGGUGGCUGUGUAAGUCUGCUGUUAAAGAGUGAGGCUCAACCUCAUAAAGGCAGUGGAAACUACAUGGCUAGAGUGCGUUCGGGGCAGAGGGAAUUCCUGGUGUAGCGGUGAAAUGCGUAGAGAUCAGGAAGAACAUCGGUGGCGAAAGCGCUCUGCUGGACUGCAACUGACACUCAGGGACGAAAGCUAGGGGAGCGAAUGGG